rnacentral:lncRNA from 10 species
AGCAGAUCAUGAACUAAAGAUGUGUCAUAGCCACGGAAGCCCUAGUCUGGCAGGAAAGAAGAGUCAUUAGGCAUCAUCUGGCAACUUGGCUUGGAGAAGUCAGAUCAGUCACCAAGAGUCUGGUGGGGCUGCAGCAAUGGCUAGAAAGAACCAGUGACAUGAUUGCCAGCCCAGCUUGAGCUCUGCUUCAGAUAAUUUAAGAUGUACCAGGUGGCACUUCAGGCUAGAAAACUCUGUGGUCUCCCAGCAACUUAAAGGAAGAUGAGGGUAAGGAAACUGAAAUAUGACAAGGUUAAAUGAUUCAGAUGAGGGGCCGGAAAGCACGCCUCCCGAGACCCAUUCCUGGAAGCGGGUCUUUAAAGCUGCUCUCAGUUUAAAAUCAACCAAAUGCUCAGAUAUCAGAUGCGGAAACUGAGGCACAGGGAAUUUGAACAACUUGCUCAAGGUCAUAAAGCUAGAAGGAGGCACAGCCAAGCAUGGGCUUGUGUGACCUCAAAGCCUAUGUUCUCGCCACUGCUCUAAACUGUUUAUUCUGUUGGCUUGUCAUAAUGAUUGAAGACAAUGUAUAUAAAUCACAGAGGGUAGGACUCAGCUUGUAAUAUGUCCUCCAUACAUUUUAUCGAACAUUAUUAAUUAAUAAACAACAGAUAAAUAACAACAGUGCUUUGUUUGAUUAAAUUAUAUAUAUGAUUAUAUUUCUUCAGUGAAAUUGUUGGUUAUGCAUUUCUUACAAAUAAUUCACAAAUAUUAAUGAAUGUCUGUGUUGCAGCAGGCAUUUUGCUCACCACGGUGGACCUGGGGGUAUGUGAAAUAGGCACCAUCUCUGCUCUCACAAAUUUAAUACGUGCAGGCUGCUGGAUUGGACUAAAGUCCUGAGGAGAACUAUAACAAUCUCUUAGAGGGAACAGUGAUUAAACAGGGAUCAAUUGUGCCACCCAUAUAGCCUUCCUACUUACUGAUCAAGAAUGAUAGCAGACCUUAGCAAGUGCAAAUCAACAAGAGGAAUCCAAUGGUGCUAUUCACUACUAUGAAGCUUUUCAUUUUGCCUCUUACUAAGAUUUCAAAGCUAUUCUUGCCCCCCACCCCACACAAAAACAAAUACUGUGCAAUCUCACUUACAUGUGGAAUCUGAAAAAGUUGAACUCGUAGAAGCAGAGAGUACAAUAGUGGGUGCCAUGGGCUGGGGGUGGAGGAAAUGGGAGAUGAUAGUCAAGGGUACAAACUUUCAGUUAUAAGAUGAACAAGUUCUGGGGCUCUAAUGUACACGAUGGGUGGUGAUGAAUGUUUUAAUUAAUUUGAUUAUUGUAAGAAUUACACAAUGUAUACAUUUAUCUAAUCAUCAUAUUAUAUACCUU